rnacentral:tRNA from 1 species
UCCCUGGUGGCUCAGAUGGUAAAGCAUCUGCCUACGAUGCAGGAGACCCAGGUUCGAUCCCUGGGUUGGGAA